rnacentral:rRNA from 1 species
GGGCCCGCACAAGCGGCGGAGCAUGCGGAUUAAUUCGAUGCAACGCGAAGAACCUUACCAAGGCUUGACAUAUAGAGGAAAAGUGCAGAAAUGCACUCCCCGCAAGGUCUCUAUACAGGUGGUGCAUGGUUGUCGUCAGCUCGUGUCGUGAGAUGUUGGGUUAAGUCCCGCAACGAGCGCAACCCUCGUCCUAUGUUGCCAGCACGUAAUGGUGGGAACUCAUGGGAUACUGCCGGGGUCAACUCGGAGGAAGGUGGGGAUGACGUCAAAUCAUCAUGCCCCUUAUGUCUUGGGCUUCACGCAUGCUACAAUGGCCGGUACAGAGGGCUGCAAUACCGCAAGGUGGAGCG